AGAUUGAACGCUGGCGGCAUGCCUUACACAUGCAAGUCGAACGGCAGCACGGGGGCAACCCUGGUGGCGAGUGGCGAACGGGUGAGUAACAUAUCGGAACGUGCCCUGGAGUGGGGGAUAACUAGUCGAAAGAUUAGCUAAUACCGCAUACGAUCUACGGAUGAAAGUGGGGGAUCGCAAGACCUCAUGCUCGUGGAGCGGCCGAUAUCUGAUUAGCUAGUUGGGUGGGGUAAAGG
rnacentral:rRNA from 1 species